GUGGCGCGUGAUGUGUGAGUUAUUUAAAAGAAUCCCAACGGCGCGACCGGUCAGUGUGAGUCCAGUAGUUACACGAACAAGACACAAUGAAGUUAUUAAUUUGCUUAUUGCCCCUUCUGGCCCAGGCCAUGGCCGACGAUGCCAGCACGCAGAAACUCCUCGUCGAUGGAAACAACCAAUUCACAGCUAAACUCUUUAGUGAGGUAGCUAAAAAUAAUGUCGGCAAAAGUGUGGUGAUGUCGGGUUUCUCUGCCCUCUCCCCUCUGGCGCAGCUCGGCCUGGCUUCGGUGGGCGACUCACACGACGAAAUCUUGAAGACCAUUGGCAUGCCUAAUGAUGAAGCUACUAAAGACGCGUUCACGCUUGUCAACGGCAACCUUCGCUCCGCCAAAGGCGUCGAGCUGAAGGUGGCCAACCGUAUCUACAUCCCGAACAAUGGAGAGCUCAACGGCACCUUCGCUCAGAUGUCCAGGGACGUAUUCAGCUCUGACGUCAAGAAUGUAGACUUCGCCAAGAACGUCGAGGCUGCUGCCGCUAUCAACGCCUGGGUUGAAGAUAACACUAACAAGCGCAUCAAAGAUUUAGUGAGUCCCGAUUCCUUAGGCGAAGAUACCAGAGCUGUUCUUGUUAACGCGAUCUACUUCAAGGGCACCUGGGAGGAACAGUUCGACAAGGCUUUGACAAAAGACAAGGACUUCCACGUAUCCAAGGACAAGACCAUCCAAGUGCCCACCAUGUUCAAGAAUGGCAACUUCAAAUACGGCACCAGCCAAGAACUUGACGCUCAGUUAUUGGAGCUGUACUACGAAGGUGGUGACUCCGCGUUCCUCAUCGUAUUGCCCAACAAGGUUGAUGGACUGGCAGAACUAGAAGAAAAAAUUAAGGACCCAUCAGCUUUGGCCAAAGCCGUAGAGAACAUGUACAAUACGGACGUUGACGUGUUUCUGCCAAAAUUCAAGAUUGAAACUACUAUUGACUUGAAGGAUGUUCUGCUAAAGAUUGGUGUAACAAAAUUGUUUUCGCCUAAAGACGCCCGACUGGAGUACCUCUUGAAGGGUGAGGGAGACGGUUUGUAUGUGAGCAACGCUAUCCAGAAGGCGUUCAUUGAAGUCAACGAGGAAGGCGCUGAGGCUGCCGCAGCUAGUGCUUUCGGCGUAGCGUAUGCAACUUCAGUCGACUACUUCCCGCCGUUACCUAAACAAUUCAAAGCUGAUCAUCCAUUCUAUUUUAUUCUAAAGCACCAGAAAAACACAUUAUUUAUCGGGAUGGUCCAAUUUAAGCAUUUAUUGUCUCGGUAGAGUCACUUUCUCGCACCGAGUCUUUUGAAGCUGACCAUCCGUUCAUGUUUAUACUAAAAGAAAAGAAAAAUACACUUUUCAUCGGAGCCGUCUACUUUUAGGAAAUUUGACAAAUGAAAAUUAUCAUUGUAAUAAUAAUAAUGAAGACUGGAUGAAUUUGCCAUUUAUUGGUUUUAAUAAAUUUGAUACUUUUAAAA